rnacentral:rRNA from 1 species
AGCGAACGCCAGCGGGUGGCUUAACACAUGCAAGUCGAGCGGGUGCCUUCGGGCACCAGCGGCGAACGGGUGCGUAACGCGUAGGAACUCUACCUCCUGGUGAGGGAUAACUCGGCGAAAGUCGUGCUAAUACCACAUAUGGCCUACGGGUCAAAGCAGCAAUGCGCCAGAAGAUGAGCCUGCGUCCCAUUAUUUAAUCCUAGUUGGCGGGGUAACGGCCCACCAAGGGUACGAUGGGUAGCUGGUCUGAGAGGACGAUCAGCCACACUGGGACUGAGACACGGCCCAGACUCCUACGGGAGGCAGCAGUGGGGAAUAUUGCGCAAUGGGCGAAAGCCUGACGCAGCCAACCCGCGUGUGUGAUGAAGGCCUCG